AGGACGAACGCUGGCGGCGUGCUUAACACAUGCAAGUCGAGCGGUAAGGCCUUUCGGGGUACACGAGCGGCGAACGGGUGAGUAACACGUGGGUGAUCUGCCCUGCACUUCGGGAUAAGCCUGGGAAACUGGGUCUAAUACCGGAUGUGACCUCCUAUCGCAUGGUGGGUGGUGGAAAGAUUUAUCGGUGCAGGAUGGGCCCGCGGCCUAUCAGCUUGUUGGUGGGGUAAUGGCCUACCAAGGCGACGACGGGUA
rnacentral:rRNA from 1 species